rnacentral:rRNA from 1 species
UAAAAGUUUAAUUAUGGCUUGAAAAAUGAUUAAUUAAAUAGUUACAUGUAAAAUUAUUUAUUAUAUAAAUUAAAAAUUUAUAAUUAUCAAUAGCAGUAAUGAAAUCUUUACAAUACUUAAUUUGUGAUAGGGAUUUAAUUUUAAAUAAGGAUAAAACACAGUGCCAGCAUCUGCGGUUAUUCUGUUUUAUUUCAUUUUUAUAUGGUUAAUAAUAAUAAAAUUUAAAUAAAUAAAUAAUAAGUAAAAUAUUAGUUUAUAUUAGAAUAAUAAAUUUUAUUAGGUUAAAUUAAUUAAGUAACUUGGAUUUGAGACCCAAUUAAUAUUUUAAAUAAUUAAAUCUUAGAAAACUAAAAUUAUUUGGCAGCUAAUUAUUCCUAAUGGGGGGAGAUGUUUAAUAAAAGAUGAUCCACUUAAAAAUCAACUAAUCUUAUUAAGGGGGUGUAUAUCCAUUUAUAUCUAUAAUAAAAAUUGAAUAGGUUUAAAAAAAUUUUUUAAAAUAGGUCUAUAUGUUCUUUAUAGAUUAGAUAUAAUGUCUCACAUUUAAAAAAGAAAAGUAUCUAAAGAUUUAGGACUCGUAAGUAAAAUAAAAAAAGAAUAUUUAUUUGAAAAAGGUUAAAUUAGGGUACACACCGCCCGUCAAUUUUAAUUUAUUUAUAUUAAGAUAAGUCGUAACAAGGUAGUUUUAAGGGAACUUGAAACUAAAAAA